GCCGUGUAGCCGCCAGUCCCUCAACCCAUGCACCCAGCCGUCGGACAUUGGAAGACUCAUAUAUUGAGGAACAAACAUCAUCCCAGGCAGUUGAGGGAAUGACCCAUGGCGAAGAGGAGGGGGCUUCAGGCAUGGCUGUCCUAAUAAAGCAUAAUCAUGGAGGAAACGAAGAGGCUCCUAUUGAGAACAACAGAUGAUUUAAAAAGUACAAUGGAAGAGCACAUGGGGCGUAUGACAAGGAGGAUGGAGGGUAUGGAGAAGAAGUCUGAGAUGUUGGAGGCUGCUGUGGUCUCAAACCAGCCUCAGCCUCCUCUGCAGGAAGAGGUGCUGUUG